rnacentral:tRNA from 1 species
GGGAGUGUAGCUCAGUGGUAGAAUGCUUACCUAACAUGUAAGAUACUGGGUUCAAUUUUCAGCAUUGCAA